GCCAUCGUGGCGCAAUGGUAGCGCAUCACCUUCCUACUAUUCGGAGGGCUAGGUGGGGGUUGCGGGUUCGAUCCCCGUCGGUGGUA
rnacentral:tRNA from 1 species